UGUUGCCACGGAGAUGACCUCUGACCCCGAAAGCAUGAGUGGCCCCUUUGCGGGUUGCCUUGGUUGCUAUGGCAACUGCAGUAUCCAGGAUCUUGGCGCUGGAGCAACUUGGGAGCAAGGGCUAGGGAACAGCUACUCUGCCCUCUUCUUUCUAGGAUGGGAACAUGGUUGUUCUGUGGAGCCCAGACUGCCCUAUCGAAGAUCCAAGGAAAUAAGUAACAAGUCAAAAACUUUGACAGAUUUGGAAGACAGAAUGGAUGUUGGCAAUUUAUUUCCUCACCUGUACUGAAAAAAAGGAGAGAGCAAGAAAAUGCGUGCUAGUCUCUCUUUUUAAAACGCCACAGCAGACAUACUGGCCAUUGCUGGGAACCCAUCGAUGAAAGACAGUGACUAAAACCACCUGAUUAUUGCAAUCCACCAUGUGUCUGAAAGCCACAUUUCACUGACAUCAUCAGACUGGAGCUAGACUCUGUGACUUGGGCAGGUGAAUUUUGACAAGCUUUUCAAUGAGGUAUGGAUGAACUGUACUAGUUUGUUAAGAACACAUUAUAAACCUAUGAUGGAAUCUCUCAGAAGUUCAAGUGUGGUGACUGCUUCCAUAUAAAACAACUGGAUUCUUUUAAAGAAAUGAUUCUCACUAUAGCCUCUUACUCAUUUACUUAACAGACCUAGUUAUAUGCCAGUCUUUUAAAUUAUUGGCUUUAGAGAACACACAGUGGUCAUUGCGCAUAGUUCUUUUUGUGAGAUAAAAGAGAUGACUGAAAAAAAGGUAGCAUUUACAGGCCUUUAAUAACAUUAAACAGGAAGCAAACUUGACAUAGAUAGACAGCUUAGUGGAUGAACACCUUUAGAGAAGGCAGGAAGGACCUAUGUCAGAUCUCUAGCACCUAUAUGAACAACUGGGUAUGGAGGAAUGCUCCUGCUGGCCCCAUAUUGGAGGGCAGAGACAGUUAGAAUCUAAGGACUUGCCAGCCAGCCAGCUUAGUUUAAUUGAUAAGUUCAGGUUCAGUGAGAGAUCCUGUUUCAAAAAAUAAAAUAGAGUAGUGAUUGAGGGAGACA
rnacentral:lncRNA from 1 species